rnacentral:rRNA from 1 species
AACGAACGUUGGCGGCGUGGAUAAGACAUGCAAGUCGAACGAGAGAAUUGCUAGCUUGCUAAUAAUUCUCUAGUGGCGCACGGGUGAGUAACACGUGAGUAACCUGCCCCCAAGAGUGGGAUAGCCCCGGGAAACUGGGAUUAAUACCGCAUAAAAUCGCAAGAUUAAAGCAGCAAUGCGCUUGGGGAUGGGCUCGCGUCCUACUAGUUAGUUGGUGAGGUAACGGCUCACCAAGGCGAUGACGGGUAGCCGGUCUGAGAGGAUGUCCGGCCACACUGGAACUGAGACACGGUCCAGACACCUACGGGUGGCAGCAGUCGAGAAUCAUUCACAAUGGGGGAAACCCUGAUGGUGCGACGCCGCGUGGGGGAAUGAAGGUCUUCGGAUUGUAAACCCCUGUCAUGUGGGAGCAAAUUAAAAAGAUAGUACCACAAGAGGAAGAGACGGCUAACUCUGUGCCAGCAGCCGCGGUAAUACAGAGGUCUCAAGCGUUGUUCGGAAUCACUGGGCGUAAAGCGUGCGUAAGCGGUUUCGUAAGUCGUGUGUGAAAGGCGGGGGCUCAACCCCCGGACUGCACAUGAUACUGCGAGAAUAGAGUAAUGGAGGGGGAACCGGAAUUCUCUNUNUNUCCUUNUNNUNCUUNGNUCUCGUGAGGAACCCUCNUNCGCCNNCNNCUUCCUNNNCCUUCNCUNNCNCUNNNNCNCNNNGNCCNNNNNCCCCUUCAAGAGGGCANANNNNAANANNNNNNAAAANAAAAGGCCUCUUCUGAAAAUCGGGGAAUCGACCCCCUCCGUGCCGGAGCUAACGCGUUAAGUGUUCCGCCUGGGGAGUACGGUCGCAAGAUUAAAACUCAAAGAAAUUGACGGGGACCCGCACAAGCGGUGGAGUAUGUGGUUUAAUUCGAUGCAACGCGAAGAACCUUACCUGGUCUUGACAUGUAUUGAACAACACGUGAAUGCAUCCGACUCUUCGGAGGAGUGACACAAGUGGUGCAUGGCCGUCGUCAGGUCGUGUUGUGAGAAGGUUGGUUAAGUUCAGCAACGAGGGCCACCCCCGUUCCCCGUUACCAGCCAGUAAAGGUGGGGACUCUGGCGAGACUGCCCAGAUCAACUUGGAGGAAGGUGGGGAGGACGUCAGGUCAUUAUGGCCCUUAUGCCCUGGGCUGCACACGUACUACAAUGCCCAGUACAGAGGGGGGGGAAGCCGCGAGGCGGAGGAAAUCCUAAAAAA